rnacentral:rRNA from 1 species
UACGUAGGGUCCGAGCGUUGUCCGGAAUUAUUGGGCGUAAAGAGCUCGUAGGCGGUUUGUCGCGUCUGCUGUGAAAUCCCGAGGCUCAACCUCGGGCCUGCAGUGGGUACGGGCAGACUAGAGUGCGGUAGGGGGAGAUUGGAAUUCCUGGUGUAGCGGUGGAAUGCGCAGAUAUCAGGAGGAACACCGAUGGCGAAGGCAGAUCUCUGGGCCGUAACUGACGCUGAGGAGCGAA